UACGUAGGGGGCAAGCGUUGUCCGGAUUUAUUGGGCGUAAAGAGCGUGUAGGCGGCCUGACAGGUCUGCUGUGAAAACUCGAGGCUCAACCUCGAGAUGUCGGCCGGAAACCGUCUGGCUAGAGUCCGGAAGAGGAGAGUGGAAUUCCUGGUGUAGCGGUGAAAUGCGCAGAUAUCAGGAAGAACACCUAUGGCGAAGGCAGCUCUCUGGGACGGUACUGACGCUGAGACGCGAAAGCGUGGGGAGCGAACAGG
rnacentral:rRNA from 1 species